rnacentral:lncRNA from 1 species
GUAACUUGUUGCAGCCUAUCUCUAAGUGCUGGGUCUCUGAUGAAACACUUGAUAUAGGUCUCGGUGCUCCUCUGACCCCUGAACUUCGUCUGCUCUUACCUCUGCAGCCUCACGAAGGCCCUGAAAAAACCUCGGAGUCCCUGCUCAGAGAGAAAAUGAGAUUAGGUCCUGAUGCAGUCACUUGUCCGAUGAGAUGCCAGUGAGAUGUCCAGAGAGGAGAAGACACGGGAAAAGAGGAAGUACCAGGAUUCUACUAAUUUCCUCCCUGGGUUUUCCCUCUAUGGGUUCCCCUUCUCUCCUCCAACAUGCUCCGUAUUGUUCACUUGAUGACAACAUUUUUAUUUCAUUGGGAACUCCCAGAGACAGUGAUGAACCUACUGAGGAAAGAAGAGGAUGUUGGUAUAUAAAAAUGCCAAAAGAAAUAUGGAAAUUGAAAUCAUGUAGUUGGCAUUGGGAAUUGAAAACAAAAUAUAGACAAACUGCUGCAUUUUACAUCUGUGGGAACUAAAUCGAAGAAAGAUUAAGUGGGCUGUCUGAGAUGUCCACUAGUGAGUAUUUGAGGAUCAUCAGACUCCUAUUCCAAAGCACUAUCCUGGGAGGUAAAUCGUAAGUUCUUCAGAUGUUCUGACCUCUCCAUCUCUUUUCAUGCCUGUUCUG